GCCGCUGUAGCUCAGCAUGGUAGAGCAAAUUCAUAUGUGAUUUCACAUUGGAGUUCAGCUGGCUGUUAACCAGUGGGUCAUCAGUUCGAGUCUGAUCAGCGGCG
rnacentral:tRNA from 1 species